rnacentral:rRNA from 1 species
AUUGAACGCUGGCGGCAUGCCUUACACAUGCAAGUCGAGCGGCAGCGCGGGGGCAACCCUGGCGGCGAGCGGCGCACGGGUGAGUAAUGCAUCGGAACGUGUCCUCUUGUGGGGGAUAACCAGUCGAAAGACUGGCUAAUACCGCAUGAGCACGAGAGUGGAAAGCGGGGGACCGUAAGGCCUCGCGCGAGAGGAGCGGCCGAUGCCGGAUUAGCUAGUUGGUGGGGUAACGGCCUACCAAGGCGACGAUCCGUAGCUGGUUUGAGAGAA